CAACAAGUCUUGUUUACGCGGGUGUAAAUGUAUCGAUGUAGUAUCGAUGUGCUGUAAAUGUGUCCGGAGAUAUGUAAUGUGUUAAUGUUUAGCCAUAAAUAUGUCCGGUAAUGGCCCAUUAACAAAGAUAUACAGCGCAUCUCUGUGCCAAAUUAUGUUAUCUCAACUAUGCUUUCCUUUGUAUUGCUUUAUAAGUUUGUUACUGUGGAGAAUACAUGAUAUUAAUUAUUAAAAACUUUUGUAGGAAUGCUGCAUCAUUGUCCUCUUCAGCGGGCAUCUGCAGAAAUGCGACGGACAUUCAUACAGGUAAUGUGGCUUCGCCGUCAUUUACUCGCACGGGGGCAUCCAGAAACGAACCCGAAAUUCAUAAAGUGAAUGUUGCUGCAUCACUUUCACCUUCGUUUGAUACUCGCAUUGGGAGGGCACACAGAAGCACAAUUGAGAACAAGAAAGGGUACGUCCACAUGUAACCUUUUUUUUUUCUUUUAUGCAUUCACAAUAUUUGUAUUACUGACAUGUUGCUUAUAUGAUAACAGUAAAUGUUCAUCAUGCGCAAAUAUGCAUGUAUCUGUUCGGGUGUAAAUGUUUCGAUGUAGCCUAGUAUUGAUGUGCUGUAAAUAUGCCCGGAGAUAUGUAAUGUGUUAAUGUUUAGCCAUAAAUAUGUCCGGUAAUGGCCCGUUAACAAACAUAUACAGCGCAUCUCUGUACCCAAUCUUAUCUCAGCUCUUUACUGCCUUAGUUAUUGCUUUUGUUACUGUGCAGAAUACAUUAUUAAAAAAAGUUCUCAAUAUUAGUAAUACUGAUGUGUUGCUUUGUACUUUGAAAAUACAUUAUAUUAAUUAAGAUAUGUUUUCAGGAAUGUGUCUGCAACACCAACUUCGUCUGGUACUCGCACGAGGGCACGCAGCUGCGCAACUGGGAACAAUAAAGAGUACGUCAGCAUGUACCCAUUUUUCUGUUAUGCCUGCACUA